AAGAAAAUUAUUUUUGUAUAUUUAAGAUGUAACAUCUCAGACGACUUUCAGGAUUGUCGACUGACUCCACGUUUUUUGGGAAACUUCUCAGAAGGCCACCCAUCCAAAGACUAGCUACUCCAAGUCAAGCAUGCUUAACUGUGGAGUUCUUAUGGAAUGUGCUACCGAAAAGAAGAUGCAUCUUGUUGAUAUAGGCAGUAACCAAACAAUUCUUAUAAGUCUUCCUUCAACCAUGUUGUCCCAUACCUACACAGUCUCAGAAUCCCUUUCAUUUCAAUGUGAUUCGGUUGCCUCGUCAGCCUCAGACGUUACAUAAGGGGAGUUAGGUGAUAGUGCAGAAGUUAAGAGAGGAGUAAGCAUUAGUCUAUUGAGUUGAGUUAUCAAACUUCACUUAUAAUAUUGUAAUUAAGAGUAAAAAGAACACUUAAUGCCCUGUUUUACUUUCUGUGUUUUGAUUUUAUUUUAUCUUUCAACUGAUAAAUCUAAAAGAUAAAGAUCCAAAAUCUCCUCCACCAUUGUCUUUUAAAAUUUUAUAAGACAGGACAAGUAAUGAAGAAAUGAGAGCAUUUGGCAUAGGUAGGAGCAAAGAAAUUGAAGAAAAGCAAGAAAAAUGAAUAGUUGGAAAAAAGCACACGGUCCUUACUGACUCAUGUCCAGUAUUUCGAUCAUAAGUUAAGUUGCAAUGAAGUCAAACUAAAGGCAAACGAAAGGUCCUCCAUCAGAUUUGUAAUCAUCUUGGAAUCUUGUCAACUUGUUUUUGAUUGAAUCAAAGUUAACAUUGUUCUAA